rnacentral:rRNA from 1 species
UUUUUUUAUGGAGAGUUUGAUCCUGGCUCAGGACGAACGCUGGCGGCGUGCUUAACACAUGCAAGUCGAACGGAAAGGCCUAGCUUGCUAGGUACUCGAGUGGCGAACGGGUGAGUAACACGUGGGUGAUCUGCCUCGUACUUCGGGAUAAGCUUGGGAAACUGGGUCUAAUACUGGAUAGGACCAUGCUUUAGUGUGUGUGGUGGAAAGUUUUUCGGUACGAGAUGAGCCCGCGGCCUAUCAGCUUGUUGGUGGGGUAAUGGCCUACCAAGGCGUCGACGGGUAGCCGGCCUGAGAGGGUGGACGGCCACAUUGGGACUGAGAUACGGCCCAGACUCCUACGGGAGGCAGCAGUGGGGAAUAUUGCACAAUGGGCGCAAGCCUGAUGCAGCGACGCCGCGUGGGGGAUGACGGCCUUCGGGUUGUAAACCUCUUUCGCUAGGGACGAAGCUU